GCCAGGUGUGGUGGUGCGCACCUGUAGUCCCAGCUACUCGGGAGGCUGAGGCAGGGGAAUCGCUUGAACCCGGGAGAUGGAGGUUGCAGUGAGCCGCGAUCAUGCCACUGCACUCCAGCCUGGGUGACAGAGCAAGAUUCUGUCUCAA
rnacentral:SRP_RNA from 1 species